rnacentral:rRNA from 1 species
UACGAAGGGGGCUAGCGUUGCUCGGAAUCACUGGGCGUAAAGCGCACGUAGGCGGCUUUUUAAGUCAGAGGUGAAAUCCUGGAGCUCAACUCCAGAACUGCCUUUGAUACUGGAGAGCUUGAGUCCGGGAGAGGUGAGUGGAACUGCGAGUGUAGAGGUGAAAUUCGUAGAUAUUCGCAAGAACACCAGUGGCGAAGGCGGCUCACUGGCCCGGUACUGACGCUGAGGUGCGAAGGCGUGGGGAGCAAACAGG